UACAGAGGGGGCAAGCGUUAUUCGGAAUUAUUGGGCGUAAAGGGCUCGUAGGCGGUCUGUUGCGUCGGGAGUGAAAACUUACAGCUUAACUGUGAGCGUGCUUUCGAUACGGGCAGACUUGAGGCAUUCGGGGGAGAACGGAAUUCCUGGUGUAGCGGUGAAAUGCGCAGAUAUCAGGAGGAACACCGGUGGCGAAGGCGGUUCUCUGGGAAUGUCCUGACGCUGAGGAGCGAAAGUGUGGGGAGCGAACAGG
rnacentral:rRNA from 1 species